AACGAACGCUGGCGGCAUGCCUAACACAUGCAAGUCGAACGGGACCUUCGGGUCUAGUGGCGGACGGGUGAGUAACGCGUGGGAACCUGCCCUUGGGUACGGAAUAACAGUUGGAAACGACUGCUAAUACCGUAUACGUCCUUUGGGAGAAAGAUUUAUCGCCCUUGGAGGGCCCGCGUGAGAUUAGGUAGUUGGUGGGGUAAUGGCCUACCAAGCCGACGAUCUCUAGCUGGUUUGAGAAGAUGAUCAGCCACACUGGGACUGAGACACGGCCCAGACUCCUACGGGAGGCAGCAGUGGGGAAUAUUGGACAAUGGGCGCAAGCCUGAUCCAGCAAUGCCGCGUGAGUGAAGAAGGCCCCUAGGGUUGUAAAGCUCUUUUACCCGGGAAAGAUAAUGACGGUACCGGGAGAAUAAGCCCCGGCUAACUCCGUGCCAGCACCGCGGUAAUACGGAGGGGGUCUAGCGUUUGUUCGGGAAUUUACUGGGCGUAAAGCGUACGUAGGCGGACAUGUAAGUUGGGGGUGAAUCCGGGGCUUAACCCGGAACGUUGCCUCAAAACUAUGUGUCUUGAGGCCGAGAGAGGUAAGGGGAAUUCCUAGUGUAGAGGUGAAAUUUCGUAGAUAUUUAGGAAGAACACCAGUGGCG
rnacentral:rRNA from 1 species